AAGGGAGACCUCCCGCUGUAUCCAAUUCUUGAAAUGAGAAGGAGCAGACGGUUAACCUAAGGUCGAUUGAGGUUUAGAUGUAUAUGUCUGAUUGGCUUUCAAACUAUCUAGGGUAUGGGCUAUUAGCUCAGGUGGUUAGAGCGCACCCCUGAUAAGGGUGAGGUCCCUGGUUCGAGUCCAGGAUGGCCCACCUUUGUAAAGAAGCGAUUGUAAAAAGUGUUGAGCUUUUCAUUUUCUGUCAGGCUUCACGUUUUUCACUUUUGUCUUUUUUGAUUUUGGGGGUUUAGCUCAGUUGGUAGAGCGCCUGCUUUGCAAGCAGGAUGUCAACGGUUCGAGUCCGUUAACCUCCACUGGCUUGAGGCGUAUUUCAUUACUUGUUUCAGCAUUUCAUUUCAAUUGAGGUUUGAUUGAGAGAGACUGCUGGAAGAUUAUCCAGUUUAGAACCUUGAAAACUGCAUAG
rnacentral:tRNA from 1 species